rnacentral:sRNA from 1 species
AUGGGGAUGUUGAAUUUGGAAAUUGGAGGGGACGCUGGUGGACGGAUUGGGUGCAAGGAGUUGGUGUUGAUGGAGGAGCAGGACGCCAGAGUCCCAGCCCUGGAACCGUUCAGAGUGGAGCAGGCACCACCUGUAAUCUACUAUGUCCCUGACUUCAUCUCCAAAGAAGAGGAGGAGUAUUUGCUUCGACAGGUGACCUCAGUGCCCUACUGGUCUGUUUUCCCACUCUUCCCAUAUUCCUCCCCAAUGCCCAUCCUCUGUAUGAGAGCCCCCAAGGCUGCAGUGAAGACCCCGACAGAAGGAACAAGGAAGUUACAGAGCUCAUACUCCCUCUACUGAGAUAGCCCAAUCCUGCUAGCUUAGAGAAUAGGGGGUUAUAAACAUAGGCUGAGAUAGCCCAGUUCAGAUCAUUGAGACUGGGGAGUAAAGAAUUUUGUAUUCAGAUUUCUGUGCCGAGAUAGCCCAGUAAACUCUUUUCUGUGCUAAAAUAGCUCAGCAUAGACCCAGAGCACAAUAAGGUUACCAAAUACAGACCAUCUAUGCUGAGAUGGCCCAGUCUGCAUUCUGUUCUUAAGGUUUGGGGAAAGAAGAAUUUUCAAAGCUCAGAGUUCCUGCCCUUUGCAGCCCCAGUGCCUAAGUUACAGAGCACAGAUCUUCCCUGUGUUGGAGU